rnacentral:rRNA from 1 species
GACGAACGCUGGCGGCGUGCUUAACACAUGCAAGUCGAACGGAAAGGCCCUGCUUUUGUGGGGUGCUCGAGUGGCGAACGGGUGAGUAACACGUGAGUAACCUGCCCUUGACUUUGGGAUAACUUCAGGAAACUGGGGCUAAUACCGGAUAGGAGCUCCUGCUGCAUGGGGGGGGUUGGAAAGAUUCGGCGGUUGGGGAUGGACUCGCGGCUUAUCAGCUUGUUGGUGGGGUAGUGGCUUACCAAGGCUUUGACGGGUAGCCGGCAUGAGAGGGUGACCGGGCACAUUGGGACUGCGAUACGGCCCAGACUGCUACGGGCGGCAGCAGUGGGGAAUAUUGCACAAUGGGCGGAAGCCUGAUGCAGAGACGCCGCGUGCGGGAUGACGGCCUUCGGGUUGUAAACCGCUUUCGAAUGUGACGAAGCGUGAGUGACGGUAAUGGGUAAAGAAGCACCGGCUAACUACGUG